AUUGAACGCUGGCGGCAGGCCUAACACAUGCAAGUCGAGCGGAUGAAGGGAGCUUGCUCCUGGAUUCAGCGGCGGACGGGUGAGUAAUGCCUAGGAAUCUGCCUGGUAGUGGGGUAUAACGUCCGGAAACGGGCGCUAAUACCGCAUACGUCCUGAGGGAGAAAGUGUGGGAUCUUCGGACCUCACGCUAUCAGAUGAGCCUAGGUCGGAUUAGCUAGUUGGUGGGGUAAAGGCCUACCAAGGCGACGAUCCGUAACUGGUCUGAGAGGAUGAUCAGUCACACUGGAACUGAGACACGGUCCAGACUCCUACGGGAGGCAGCAGUGGGGAAUAUUGGACAAUGGGCGAAAGCCUGAUCCAGCCAUGCCGCGUGUGUGAAGAAGGUCUUCGGAUUGUAAAGCACUUUAAGUUGGGAGGAAGGGCAGUAAGUUAAUACCUUGCUGUUUUGACGUUACCAACAGAAUAAGCACCGGCUAACUUCGUG
rnacentral:rRNA from 1 species